UUUAGAUUAAUAAUUUAAGGUCUAAUCUGCCCACUGAUUAAUUGAAUGGCCGCAGUAAUUUGACUGUGCAAAGGUAGCAUAAUCAUUAGUUUUUUAAUUAAAAGCUUGUAUGAAUGAUUGGACGAGAUAAAAUCUGUCUCUUAAUUAAAAUUAAAAUUUAAUUUUUAAGUUAAAAAGCUUAAAUUUUUAUAAAAGACGAGAAGACCCUAUAGAUCUUUAUUUAUUUAAAUUAUAAAUUUUAUAUUGAUUUUUUUAUUAUUUAUUUUUUAAUAAAUUUUAUUGGGGUAAUAAAAAGAUUUAAUAAAUUCUUUUAAAAAUUUUACAUUUAUUAAUGAUUUUUUGAUCCAUUAUUAAUGAUUUUAAGAUUAAGUUACCUUAGGGAUAACAGCGUAAUUUUUUUAGAGAGUUCAUAUCGAUAAAAAGGAUUGCGACCUCGAUGUUGGAUUAAAAGUAAUUUCAGGUGCAGAAGUCUGAAGUUUUGGUCUGUUCGACCAUUAGAUUUUUACAUGAUCUGAGUUCAAACCGGUGUAAGCCAGGUUGGUUUCUAUCUUUAUAUAAUUAAUUUAUUUUAGUACGAAAGGACCAAAUAUUAAAUAAAUUAUUUUUAUUUUUGAAUAAGA
rnacentral:rRNA from 1 species